rnacentral:lncRNA from 1 species
UACUGAUGCUUUUCAUGUUGGUGUUUUUGUCAUUGUUGGUGUUUCAGGAAUAGGAAAGACAAAACUUGCACGUCUUGUUUGCAAGGAUGAGCAAGUCAAAGCAAAUUUUGGGCCACAGCCAAUUUGGAUCGAUCUUCUCUACGAGACCUUUGAUGUUGAAUCAAUAGUUAAGUCAGCUACCACCACUGUUAAUGAUGGUAAACACCCUCUAAUUGUGCUUGAUGGUUUGCAAAAUGAGAUGAAGAAGGAUCUUGAGAAUUUGCAGCAACGAUUAAAGGAGUCUUGUGGUACCGGUUGUGCAAUACUCAUCACUACACGUGGCAGCCAUGUUGCUAACAUGGUUGCUAACAACAUUUCUGGAUUUGCUGCUAGAUUUGAUUUGGGAGGGUUUCAUGAAAAAGAGAAGAAAGAGCUUGUAGAUCAACUACUUAACUUGAACAAUUCUACUGAUGAUUUUCAUGUUGGUGUUUUUGUCAUUGUUGGUGUUCCGGGAAUAGGGAAGACAAAACUUGCACGGCUUGUUUGCGAGGAUGAGCAAGUCAAAGCAAAUUUUGGGCUACAACCAAUUUGGAUCGAUCUUCUACACGAGACCUUUGAUGUGGAAUCCAUAGUUAAGUCAGCUACCACCACUGUUGAUGAUGGUAAACACUGCCUAAUCGUGCUUGAUGAUUUGAGAAAUGAGAUUAAGAAUGAUCUCGAGAAGUUGCAGCAACGAUUAAAGGAGUCUUGUGGUACCGG